rnacentral:rRNA from 1 species
UACGGAGGGUCCGAGCGUUAUCCGGAAUCAUUGGGUUUAAAGGGUCCGUAGGCGGGCUUCUAAGUCAGUGGUGAAAGUCUGCAGCUCAACUGUAGAACUGCCAUUGAUACUGGGAGCCUUGAAUCAAUGUGAAGUAGCUAGAAUAUGUAGUGUAGCGGUGAAAUGCUUAGAUAUUACAUAGAAUACCGAUUGCGAAGGCAGGCCACUAACAUUGCAUUGACGCUGAUGGACGAAAGCGUGGGGAGCGAACAGG